GUGCUCGCUCUAGCAGCACAUAUGCUAAAAUUGGAACGACAGAGAGAUUAGCAUGGCCUCUGCAGGGUUAAUACAAAUUUGUGACGCAUUCCAUAUUUUG
ensembl:snRNA U6 U6 spliceosomal RNA